rnacentral:rRNA from 1 species
GUCUAUGGCCAUGCUGCCCUGAACAAGCUGGAUAUCUGAUCUCGGAAGCUAAGCAGGGUCCAGCCUGGUUAGUACUUGGAUGGGAGACCACCUAGGAAGACCAGGUGCUAUAGGCA